GAGUGGCGGACGGGUGCGUAACGCGUAGGAAUCUGCCUAUUAGUGGGGGACAACUUAGGGAAACUUAAGCUAAUACCGCAUACGCCCUACGGGGGAAAGGAGGGGACCUUCGGGCCUUUCGCUAAUAGAUGAGCCUGCGUUGGAUUAGCUAGUUGGUGGGGUAAAGGCCUACCAAGGCGACGAUCCAUAGCUGGUCUGAGAGGACGAUCAGCCACACUGGGACUGAGACACGGCCCAGACUCCUACGGGAGGCAGCAGUGGGGAAUAUUGGACAAUGGGCGAAAGCCUGAUCCAGCAAUACCGCGUGUGUGAAGAAGGCCUUAGGGUUGUAAAGCACUUUCAAUUGGAAGGAAAAACUCAUGGCCAAUACCCAUGAGCUUGACAUUACCUUUAGAAGAAGCACCGGCUAACUCCGUGCCAGCAGCCGCGGUAAUACGGAGGGUGCGAGCGUUAAUCGGAAUUACUGGGCGUAAAGCGUGCGUAGGCGGCUCGUUAAGUCAGAUGUGAAAGCCCUGGGCUCAACCUGGGAACGGCAUUUGAAACUGGCGAGCUAGAGUUUGGGAGAGGAGAGUGGAAUUUCAGGUGUAGCGGUGAAAUGCGUAGAGAUCUGAAGGAACACCAGUGGCGAAGGCGACUCUCUGGCCUAAAACUGACGCUGAGGUACGAAAGCGUGGGUAGCAAACAGGAUUAGAUACCCUGGUAGUCCACGCCGUAAACGAUGUCAACUAGCCGUUGGCUCUCUUAGAGAGUUAGUGGCGCAGCUAACGCAUUAAGUUGACCGCCUGGGGAGUACGGCCGCA
rnacentral:rRNA from 1 species